AGAUACAGGGGCUAUUGUACGUCCUUACAGUGGACCCGGCGAUCCACAGCGAUACGAAGGAUGGACUAUUGGUACCUAAUACGACGCGGAUGAAUCUCAAGAUAAUUGUGUUGAGCGGAAGAAGCCAGACAAAAAAGAGAAAACUGCCCAUUUGGUAACUGAACCCAGCGUUGGCACAUCAGGUCACCAGGGAAGCUGUUGGCUGAGCUAAGGAUAAACACCAGCGAUUCUAUUCUCAGUAAGUGGUUCUCACCACUAACCAUCCUUCCUUCCCCUUCGGUUUGUCUGUAUCAUGUCCAGGCCUGAGGGUGGCUAACUUCAACAUUAAUGCCAAUGCUUAUGACCAAGGAAAUCAGAUGAUGCAAAGCUAAGCAGAAUUUUCAAAUGACAUGAGACUCUAGGUGACAUCCAGGACACUGGUUUGCAAGGGUGCACUGGUGCACAGCCCUGAGAAGCAAGCUACUCUUGCAGAAACACCCAGCAUAUUGAAAUAUUAAAUAGAAAAUAACCCCCUCAAACUUGGAAGUUAGGGUCUUGUAAAAGUUUAUAUUAGGAGAAAUUGUACUCAAAGAGCUUUAAAAGUCUAUGGAAAAACAGGGUUGUGGACUUCACAUCUGUGAACAUUCUGAGAAAUCACUUAAAUUCAUUAAAAUUAUUAUUUGAACAACAAUAAAAAUAGUCCUGGGUAACAUUUUCUGCACAUGCAGCAAUGCUGUUUGUUCCCUUUUUAAGAGAAAUCCUGUGACCUCUCUCUCCACAAAACCAAGUAUUGAGGCUGAGGCCUGAAUCAUUCUGGAUACACCCCUUGGAGAAGCUUGACCCAAACCAAUUCAAAAAAAGAAAGUGCCAAAGUCUUGGCUUUUAUGAGUUCCUAAGCAGGCUUUUGAAAUUCAUGGCAGAGACGAUAAUCUUGAAAGCCAAGGCUUUUGAUUUGCAGGAUUUGUAAAAGAGAGGCUUUUUAUUUUUUUAAAGGUCUCUAAACUUUCGUUUUGAGUGUCAAAACUUUGGAUUCAAAAGCAAAUCCCUGAUGAAAUUUUGGA